rnacentral:rRNA from 1 species
UACGAAGGGGGCUAGCGUUGUUCGGAAUUACUGGGCGUAAAGCGCACGUAGGCGGAUUGUUAAGUCAGAGGUGAAAUCCCCGGGAGCUCAACUUCGGAACUGCCUUUGAUACUGGCAAUCUAGAGUCCGGAAGAGGUUAGUGGAAUUCCCAGUGUAGAGGUGAAAUUCGUAGAUAUUGGGAAGAACACCAGUGGCGAAGGCGGCUAACUGGUCCGGUACUGACGCUGAGGUGCGAAAGCGUGGGGAGCAAACAGG